rnacentral:SRP_RNA from 1 species
GCCGUGAUUAGUAACGCAAGCUUGUAACCCAAGUGGUGGCAUUGAAGUGUUGGAAAAUUGGUUCAGAGUUAGUUGUUUGCGUCUGGAGUGGCUUUAUUCCAAGCUAGGAGUUGAGUUGUGUGGCCUGAGCAAAGGCUCUGGGCUAUACAAUUUCUAGAGCAGAGGGAACCGUGACAACCUCCUGCUCUUAGUAGUGGAAGGAUAACAGGUCGGUGCCAUCCAGUUCCAUCAUGGAUAGCUGGGCUGCCUAAAUUGAACCAAUGCUUUU